rnacentral:lncRNA from 1 species
AGCACUGGGUGAGCUAGCUGGGGCAAUGCGGAAGAGUUCACCCUAGUGGUGUGAGUGUGGGAGACCUGGCGGGCUGACCAGCUCAGCGAUCACCUAGGCUCAGAUCCAGGGCUUGGAGUUGGCCCCACCCCAACAUCUACCCCAUCUAUGAACUGCUGGAGCGAGUGAAGAAGCUGGUCCUACGGAUCCAAAGCUGCAGGAUCACCAUGAUAUGGGGCAACAGCAAGAUAUUUGAGAGGAGUCCUGGUGAGGAUCCAGUAUUGAUGGUGUAGCAGAAGCCAGAGGCCUCCAAGCAGACCAAGGACAUAUUAUAAUGAACAUUUGCAAGCAGAAAAGUAUGAACAAAAGGUCCUGGCACAGUGCCUUCCAGAAGAAAGAAACCCAUAUACACAACAUGGCCUAUCUUUGUAUUUUAUAAACAACUCUGAAAU